rnacentral:lncRNA from 1 species
AUGAAUGUGCCCAUUGUCACAGGAAAGUUUAAGAAGAAGAGGAGAGAAAGAUUGUUUUCCCUGUGGAGAGGCCCAGCUUGUGUUGACAAAAAAUCUAUGCAUGAAAGGAACAUACAUCAGAUGCUGAGCAGCUGGAAAUCCUAUGAUAUAGUGUCUUGUCGAUUUUCUGGGGAAAUGGGCCAUUAGGCCAGCUCUCUUAAGAAUAUCAAGGAGGAUCAGAAAAGAAAGCUUGCCCAUAUCAAGGGGGCCUCAAGAAAUUCAGAUACUUAUAUGCCCAUCAGAUACUGUGUGAGAUACCAGGAACCAAAAUACACCCUUUUGUUACCAAAUUUAUUUUUACUUUAUUCAUAGAGGAGAAUGAUAGAGUGAAAAAAGCAUUUGGUAUUGAGUCAGAGGGUUUGAGUUCAAAUUCUACUUUUGUCACUUACUGCAUGAAUUGAGCAAAUUAUUUAAACUUUCUCAACCUCAAUUUCUUCAUUUUUAAAAUGAAGGAGUAGUAGGAAAAAUAAGUCUAGAUCAUCUCUAAGGUUCUUCCCAACUCUAAAUCUAUUAUCACUUAAGAGAGAUGAUAUAUAUUAGUUCUUUUUAAUCAACUAGUCCCUUAUUUUUUUCCUUAUUUUAGGUUGUUGCUAGGAAUGUGUAAUUGAUAAUGUUUAGCUCUAUUAAAAUUUGUUAUUAUACUCAACAAAUGUAUUUGACCCCAAUAUGAUAACCAAUAUGCAUCUGAAAAGCUGAGACCCCAGGACAGAACUACACCAUAUUUUUGGUCAGAAGCAUAAAGCAUCUUGGAAGAUUUUUUAAAUAUAAGCAUCAAAUGAAAAUGUCUGUACACAAAUGAAAGAGAGCUCUCAAGAAGCUUACAUUCUACUUGACAGUAAUAAGUAGACUCAAGGGCUCUUCUAGUCAAGUGGAUUAGGAGGUCCAGCAUCAGUAGGACAGAAAUACAUUCCUAUUUUUUUUUGGCCUCAGUAAAACAGUGUUUUUCUCUGUUGACCAACAUCCUUAGAAAGAACUCUUUGGUUUAAUGGAUAUAUAUCUUGCCAUCCUGCCAUCAGUAAUCUGAACAGCUUGAAAUACUGUCUGUCAUCUUACAUUGCUUUCUUUCUGAAGCAAACACAAUCACUGGGUUGUUUUUCAUUGAUUUAAAAACAUUGACUUGCUGAAGCAUGAGCUUGUGUGCAGUCAUAAUUCUUGUCUUUUCUUCCUCAGCAAAGUCUGUGAUCAUUCUCUGAGUUUUGAACAGGUGUCAUGUAUCAGAUCCAAGUCCUUAAUCAAUGCACUAGAAAGAAUCUUUUCCUUAAGGCCUUGUGUUUACUCCAUUCUCAUUUAUCUUGUGAAAUAUCUUCAAAUGCUUUUUGAAGAUGCUGGAAAAGAGCAGGUUAGCAUUUCCUGGUGGCAAUAAAAGUCAAAGCAUGAGACUCCCUUGUCCA